rnacentral:rRNA from 1 species
UACGUAGGGUCCGAGCGUUGUCCGGAAUUAUUGGGCGUAAAGAGCUCGUAGGCGGUCUGUCGCGUCGGCUGUGAAAACCCGGGGCUCAACCCCGGGCCUGCAGUCGAUACGGGCAGACUAGAGUGCGGUAGGGGAGACUGGAAUUCCUGGUGUAGCGGUGAAAUGCGCAGAUAUCAGGAGGAACACCGGUGGCGAAGGCGGGUCUCUGGGCAGUAACUGACGCUGAGGAGCGAAAGCGUGGGGAGCGAACAGG